GGAGAGGUCGCCUAGCCUGGUUUAUGGCGCGCGCUUGGAAAGCGCGUGUACCGAAAGGUACCGAGAGUUCAAAUCUCUCUCACUCCGCCA
rnacentral:tRNA from 1 species